AUUGAACGCUGGCGGCAUGCUUUACACAUGCAAGUCGAACGGUAACAGGGUGCUUGCACCGCUGACGAGUGGCGAACGGGUGAGUAAUGCGUCGGAACGUGCCGAGUAGUGGGGGAUAACGCAUCGAAAGGUGUGCUAAUACCGCAUACGUACUGAGGUAGAAAGUGGGGGACCUUCGGGCCUCACGCUAUUCGAGCGGCCGACGUCUGAUUAGCUAGUUGGUGAGGUAAAGGCUCACCAAGGCGACGAUCAGUAGCGGGUCUGAGAGGAUGAUCCGCCAAACGGGGACUGAGACACGGACCAGACUCCUACGGGAGGCAGCAGUGGGGAAUUUUGGACAAUGGGCGCAAGCCUGAUCCAGCCAUGCCGCGUGUCUGAAGAAGGCCUUCGGGUUGUAAAGGACUUUUGUCCGGGAGCAAAUGCUGGUGGCUAACAUCCACCGGAGCUGAGAGUACCGGAAGAAUAAGCACCGGCUAACUACGUGCCAGCCGCCGCGGUAAAAC
rnacentral:rRNA from 1 species